rnacentral:lncRNA from 1 species
AUGUGGACGUGGCUGGAGAGAGAUCCUCCAAGAAGUGGUAUCAAGUCUGUGUGUCUCUUUGAGAGCACCAUCUUCAGAAAGAGCAACUCAAUCAGUUUUUUGGACUCUGACCCACCAAAUAAUCAUGACUUUCUUUGUGUGUAUGCAUGUGGCAGGUGUUCAUUGGCACUCAUCCAAUAAACAUAAUGGAGUUGGGGGACAUUCAUUGAAAACUAUAAAGCAGUGAAUUGAACAUAUUGAAGUAGGUAUGAAGUCCAUCAAUCUCACUGAGCUUUCAUUGCCUUUAAAAUGCAUUCCCCUGACUCUUUUCACUUUUCUAAGGGUAAUGGCACUGUUUUGUUACUCUGUUCACCUAAAUAGAGCUGUCUUAAUGAGUGAAUUAAAAGGCUUUCUUUAAGAUGGUUAAUAUAAAUGGCCUCUCAAUUAAAUGCUUCUUUUCUUCUGAACCUCCAUCAACUUAUUCAAGCACUUCUGAAAGGCCAUUGAAGUCAUCCUUGAGGUCCCCAGGCUAAGUGGUUACAGAAAUGACAAGGUGUGUGCCUUUCUGAUACCUUACCCUCUGCUUGAUUUAUGUCUUUUUAUGGAAGUGGUAGGCAAGUCGAAAACAUCACCAAUGGAUGGUUCUAUUGGUGGACUGGUAAAAUAUCCAGAUUAUCAGUUUCUAAUAAUUUUGUGAUCAUGUGUUCUGUGGUGGGUUGAAUAGUGCCUCCUAAAAAGAAAUAUCCAAAUUUGGCUGAGUGUGGUGGCUUGCACCUGUAAUCCCAGAACUUUGGGAGGCUGAGAUGAGUGGAUCACUUGAGGCCAGGAGUUCGAGACUAGCCUGGCCAACGUGGUGAAACCCUGUCUCUACUAAAAAUAUAAAAAUUAGCUGGGCAUGGUGGUGCAUGCCUGCAGUCCCUGCUACUCAGGAGACUGAGGCAUGAGAAUCAUUUGGACCCUGGAGGUGGAGUUUGCAGUGAACUGAGAUUGUGCCAUUGAAUUCCAGCCUCAGCAACAGAGUAAGACUCUCUCUCAAAAAAGAAAAAAAAAAAAGAAAGAAAAAAGGAAUAUCCUAAUUCUAACACUCAUCCAUAUUGAAUGUGACCUUACUUGGGAUCUUGGCAGAUGCU